AAAUUGAAGAGUUUGAUCAUGGCUCAGAUUGAACGCUGGCGGCAGGCCUAACACAUGCAAGUCGAACGGUAACAGGAAGCAGCUUGCUGCUUUGCUGACGAGUGGCGGACGGGUGAGUAAUGUCUGGGAAACUGCCUGAUGGAGGGGGAUAACUACUGGAAACGGUAGCUAAUACCGCAUAACGUCGCAAGACCAAAGAGGGGGACCUUCGGGCCUCUUGCCAUCGGAUGUGCCCAGAUGGGAUUAGCUAGUAGGUGGGGUAACGGCUCACCUAGGCGACGAUCCCUAGCUGGUCUGAGAGGAUGACCAGCCACACUGGAACUGAGACACGGUCCAGACUCCUACGGGAGGCAGCAGUGGGGAAUAUUGCACAAUGGGCGCAAGCCUGAUGCAGCCAUGCCGCGUGUAUGAAGAAGGCCUUCGGGUUGUAAAGUACUUUCAGCGGGGAGGAAGGGAGUAAAGUUAAUACCUUUGCUCAUUGACGUUACCCGCAGAAGAAGCACCGGCUAACUCCGUGCCAGCAGCCGCGGUAAUACGGAGGGUGCAAGCGUUAAUCGGAAUUACUGGGCGUAAAGCGCACGCAGGCGGUUUGUUAAGUCAGAUGUGAAAUCCCCGGGCUCAACCUGGGAACUGCAUCUGAUACUGGCAAGCUUGAGUCUCGUAGAGGGGGGUAGAAUUCCAGGUGUAGCGGUGAAAUGCGUAGAGAUCUGGAGGAAUACCGGUGGCGAAGGCGGCCCCCUGGACGAAGACUGACGCUCAGGUGCGAAAGCGUGGGGAGCAAACAGGAUUAGAUACCCUGGUAGUCCACGCCGUAAACGAUGUCGACUUGGAGGUUGUGCCCUUGAGGCGUGGCUUCCGGAGCUAACGCGUUAAGUCGACCGCCUGGGGAGUACGGCCGCAAGGUUAAAACUCAAAUGAAUUGACGGGGGCCCGCACAAGCGGUGGAGCAUGUGGUUUAAUUCGAUGCAACGCGAAGAACCUUACCUGGUCUUGACAUCCACGGAAGUUUUCAGAGAUGAGAAUGUGCCUUCGGGAACCGUGAGACAGGUGCUGCAUGGCUGUCGUCAGCUCGUGUUGUGAAAUGUUGGGUUAAGUCCCGCAACGAGCGCAACCCUUAUCCUUUGUUGCCAGCGGUCCGGCCGGGAACUCAAAGGAGACUGCCAGUGAUAAACUGGAGGAAGGUGGGGAUGACGUCAAGUCAUCAUGGCCCUUACGACCAGGGCUACACACGUGCUACAAUGGCGCAUACAAAGAGAAGCGACCUCGCGAGAGCAAGCGGACCUCAUAAAGUGCGUCGUAGUCCGGAUUGGAGUCUGCAACUCGACUCCAUGAAGUCGGAAUCGCUAGUAAUCGUGGAUCAGAAUGCCACGGUGAAUACGUUCCCGGGCCUUGUACACACCGCCCGUCACACCAUGGGAGUGGGUUGCAAAAGAAGUAGGUAGCUUAACCUUCGGGAGGGCGCUUACCACUUUGUGAUUCAUGACUGGGGUGAAGUCGUAACAAGGUAACCGUAGGGGAACCUGCGGUUGGAUCACCUCCUU
rnacentral:rRNA from 3 species